rnacentral:rRNA from 1 species
CAGUUCGGUCCCUAUCUACCGUGGGCGCUGGAAAUUUGAGAGGAUCUGCUCCUAGUACGAGAGGACCAGAGUGGACGAACCUCUGGUGUACCGGUUGUGACGCCAGUCGCAUCGCCGGGUAGCUAUGUUCGGAAGGGAUAACCGCUGAAAGCAUCUAAGCGGGAAGCCUACCUCAAGAUAAGAUUUCCCUAGGACUUUAUGUCCUCUAAAGAGCCGUUCGAGACUAGGACGUUGAUAGGUUGGAUGUGGAAGCAUAGUGAUAUGUGAAGCUGACCAAUACUAAUUGCUCGUGAGGCUUGACUAUACAACACCCA